UAAGCCUUUCUUGGUGCAGGUGCUUUCCAGUCUCUCUAUGUUAUGGGCGAAGAGACUGAGACUGAACCCAGAAAAGUGAAGUGACGUGCCUUGAGUCACAGCUAGCCACCAUGAACAUCAGGCACAUAACUCCUGCUGAGCUGCUCCAGUGCUCCAGUCACCCCACAGCAAAGGCUCAUUAGGAGUAAAUUAGAAAGUUUCUCUGAGACAGGAAUCUGCCGGCAGUUCCUGAGGAAUCAAGAAGAGAGCCACCUGGUAUGUGAGCUUGUGAUGAGAGAGGUGAUGAAUCAGCUGUUGGAUGAUGCUUACUGUGGCUUAAGAGUUGAUGUUCUGUUCCUACGCAUUGAUCUCAGCCUUCUUCAGUUCACAGGGAGAACUUAUGGGCGGUGGUGGUGCACAUCUUUAAUCUCAGCACUCAGGAGGCAGAGGCAGGUGGAUCUCUGUGACUUUGAGGCCAGCCUGGUCUACAGAGCAAGUUCAGCUGACGGAUGGGAGACAUGGUCUGGUAACACCAUGCUUCAGACUGUGACUGUGGAGCUAGCCUGCUUGACCUUGGGGCUGGAGAAAUGUUAAGAAUGUUUGCUGCUCUUCCAGAGAACCAGAAUUCAGUUCCCAGCAUCCAUACCCCGUGGUUCCAAGGAAUUCAACUCCUUUUUCUUAGCUUCCUCAAGCACCCACACACAUGUGGCUUACACACACACACACACACACACACACACACACACACACAA